ACGGGGUGCAGCAGGCGCGAAAACUUCGCAAUGUGGGAAACCACGACGAGGGGAAUCCAAGUGCUUGCACAAUGUGUAGGCUGUUUCCAUGCCUAAAAAGCAUGGAGAGUAAGGGCUGGGUAAGACGGGUGCCAGCCGCCGCGGUAAUACCCGCAGCCCGAGUGGUGGUCGUUAUUAUUGGGCCUAAAACGUCCGUAGCCGGCCCGGUAAAUUCGUGGGGAAAUCGGUCAGCUUAACUGACCGAAGUCCGCGGAGACUGCCGGGCUUGGGACUGGGUGAGGUCAGAGGUACUUCAGGGGUAGGGGUAAAAUCCUGUAAUCCUUGAAGGACCACCAGUGGCGAAGGCGUCUGACUAGAACGGAUCCGACGGUAAGGGACGAAGCCCUGGGGCACAAACGGGAUUAGAUACCCCGGUAGUCCAGGGUGUAAACGCUGUGGGCUUGGUGUUGGGAGUCCCACGAGGGCGCCCAGUGCCGGAGAGAAGUUGUUAAGCCUACUGCCUGGGAGUACGCUCGCAA
rnacentral:rRNA from 1 species